UACGUAGGGUGCAAGCGUUGUCCGGAAUUAUUGGGCGUAAAGAGCUCGUAGGCGGUCUGUCGCGUCUGCUGUGAAAACUGGAGGCUCAACCUCCAGCCUGCAGUGGGUACGGGCAAACUAGAGUGCGGUAGGGGAGAUUGGAAUUCCUGGUGUAGCGGUGGAAUGCGCAGAUAUCAGGAGGAACACCGAUGGCGAAGGCAGAUCUCUGGGCCGUAACUGACGCUGGAGGAGCGAAAGCGUGGGGAGCGAACAGGA
rnacentral:rRNA from 1 species